GACGAACCGUGCAAACGUUAUUCGGAAUUACUGGGCUUAAAGGGCGCGUAGGCGGGUCAGUUAGUCUGCGGUGAAAUCCUCCAGCUUAACUGGAGAACUGCCGUGGAUACUGCUGACCUCGAGGAGGGUAGGGGCAUCUGGAACAGCCGGUGGAGCGGUGAAAUGCGUUGAUAUCGGCUGGAACUCCGGUGGCGAAGGCGAGAUGCUGGACCCUUUCUGACGCUGAGGCGCGAAAGCCAGGGGAGCGAACGGG
rnacentral:rRNA from 1 species